CGCCAGAUCGUUAACCCACUGAGCAAGGCCAGGGGUCGAAUCCUCAACCUCAUGGUUCCUAGUCGGAUUUGUUAACCACUGAGCCAUGACGGGAACUCCUCUUACCUCCUCUUUCUCCCAUUUUUUGCAUAUCACGUCCCAGCCACACAAGCCCCUUUCUGUCCCACAGAUAUGCCAAGCUCAGGGCUUACCCCAGGCCACUGGUUCUUUUUUCUUUCUGUCAGCAUGGGUACAGCCACCUCUUUCAGGCUUCAACUUGGAGCCUUUUCUCUCCACCGUGAUGAAAGCAGACUUCCCACAGAAGCCUGGCUGCCCCACAGAAUAUGGAAUUCCUGGGCCAGGGAUCAAACCCGAGCUGCAUUUGUGACCUAAGCUGCAGCUGUGGCAAUACCACAUCCUUAACCCACUCUGUCAACCUGUGUCAAGGCAGCAAGAGACUAAGCUUGUCCAAGCCUUAUGUGGGGUUUCCAGGUGAGGAUUGGUCUUUGAUUUAAUUUGAAUGUGGCCAAAUUGCCUAAUGAAGAUGUAUGGGCAGAGCAUGGUCUGUCCCGAGAACCGAUGAGGUUAGGUAGUGUCAUACUUGCUGACAGGUCAGAAAAUGUGUGUGGUGGUUGGAGAUAGAGUGAUUCAGUGUUUGUAACAGACUAUAUAACAACAGUCUAUAAAAAGGAUAGAAAAUUAAGUCUUUUGCUAAGCGAGUUGUACUGGCCACCUGCCAAGCCUUGUUUGACCUGUGUGGGUUGAUGGUUUUGUUAUUUCAGGGGGUUGUGGCAAUUUUGGGAAUCACAAUGACAGAGAAAGUGCUGCUUGGCAUCAGCCAGGUAUGCCCAUCCAGUAGGUCUGGAAGAGGAAGAGACUUGCCUGCCUGGAGGAUUAGCCCUGAGGUCCUGAAUCCUUUGCUCUGCUCCAUACCUCACACUCUUUUCAUGUUUGAAAAGUCUUUGUCCAGUCUCAUCCCAUCCAGCCCCUGUUAGUUCCCUGCUGUUCUCCAGCUCUACCUCAAUAAUCAAUUUGCAGAGUUCCUGCUAUGGUGCAACAGGAUCGACAGCAUCUUGGGAGUGCUGGGAUGCAGGUUUGAUCCCCAGCUCCACGCAGUGGGUUAAGAACCUGGCAUUAUCACAGCUGCACUUUAUGUUGCAGUUGCAGCUUGGAUCUGAUCCCUGGCCCAGAACUCCAUAUGCCGAGGGACAGCCAAAAAAGGAAAAAAAAAAAAAAGAAUCAGGAAGUUCCAAUUGUGGCUCAGCGGUUACGAACCCUACUAGUAUCCAUAAGGAUGUGAGUUCGAUCUCUCGACUCACUCAGUGGGUUAAGGAUCUGACAUUGGCGUGAGCUGUGGUGUAGGUUGCAGACGCAGCUUGGAUCCUACGUUGCUGUUGCUGUGGCUAUGGCAUAGGCCAGCGGCUUUAGCUCCAAUUCGACCCCUAGCCAGGAAGCUUCCAUAUGCUGCAUAUGUGACCCUAAAAGACUGAAAAUAAGAGAAGAAUCAGUUUGUGUUAUUGACCCCAGUUUACCUUCCAGAUGGAGUCCAUUGAUCUGAUGAUGCAAGAAGGGGCAACAGGCUACCUCCAGACCCUCGAGGCCAGCAUUACGUCCCCCUCCUGUGGCCUCAGGACACCCUAAAGCAGAUGGUCCUAGUGUGUGCUCCCUUGGACCAGACUAGAUGUGUAUACAAAGCUCAUCCCAGCUCUUGACUGUUCUUUGCUCUCAAAGCUGCCUUUAGAUCUUAGAGCACCCUCUCUCUUCAUCAGGGUCUGUGGGGAUAGGUCCCACAGAACCCAGCUUUGCCUUUGCUGGGCAGAUCAUAAGCUGUCCCAAACUGGCCAUAAUAUGUUACCCCUCCUGACUCUUGCUUCCCUUGGGAUUGGCACCAGCUCCCUGUGGGUGCCUCUCCUCUGACUUCAGUGGGACUGGCUAAGGAAGGCGAUUAUAUGGCUGGAGGCAUUCUAACAUCUCUUCUCUAGAGUGAUCAGGAGAGAUGUCUUUGCAUCUCAUGAAAUGAUUGGGCUGUCCUUCUAGAUCCCCCUCAGAUGUCUCAUUUUGGUAGGGCCCAUGAAGGUGGCUCUUAAAUCCCUUCUUCCCUUCUUCCCUUCUUCCCACACUGUCUGGAGACAGUGUGGACUUUCCCUUAGCCCAGGGUGUCAGCAGACUGGGAGCAGCCCUUCUUGGGACUGUGCUCUCAGCAGCUGGCAUGGGCCCCCAAUUGUUCUUCUGUGAACAAUGGACACUCUUUUUGGCCAGGAAGGGAAACUCAUGAAAGGAACAUUUCUUUGGAUGCUUGAGAGCUUUGUGGCAACCCUGCCUGUGUGAGAUGAACUGCAGUUUCUUCCUGCCUCAAGUGGGUGUUCCCUGGCUCUGAAUGGACCCCUUGUGAACGGAGCACACCGGGAAAUUUGAGUUGGCGAAAGAAAGCAUCCUUGGGGGUGGGUUGUCAGAAUGGCAUUUGCCCAGGCACAUCAACUCAAAUACUCAUUGAAUAUAUAGGCUUUUAUAUUUUAGAAAAAAAAAAAAAAAAACGGAUUACUGACAAGGACUGAAAGAACAUGACAAAGUAAAAAUAGAUGAUGUUAGGGCUUGGGAUUGAGUGACUGAUUCUGAGAGUUUUAUUAAUGGCUGUAACUAUGCUGAGCUAUCCCUUACUUUAUGAGGAAAAUGAUUAAUCUUUGUUUUUAGAUGAGAACAGUUAACAUCAGGUAAAAUACUUUAUAAUUCAGACCAGAAAGGCAGUGACUGAGCUGGAGAAGUUGUGUUCAGCAUAUGAUCUUGUGGCCUUGGCCUCUAUGUCAAGAACCUUGUUCUAGUUUGAGAGUUGAAUGUCUCUUGAUUGUCUCUCAUGGAUGUGGCUCUGUUUUACAAAGCAAAGGCCUCUUGUACCCACUUCUACCCUGGUUCCUCACAUUAGGUGGUGUCAAAGCCUUGGCCCUUUGACUUCAAGCCAGAGGCUCUUGUUGACCUAUGCCAUCUCCCUGCAGCCCAGCCACGUGACUGCCUGUGAGCAUCAUUGGUAGAGGCUGAACUUGGCCACAGAGCAGAUUUGUCUCAUUGUCAUAGUCUAUGGCACAGACACAGGAUCACUCAGAAUGCAAGUCAGCAUCAUGGCAGCCUCUGAAAUGUGACCGAAGGCCUGCUCCAUCAGAGGGACUGUUUCUUGCCUCCCUGAGUAAAGAUGCACGCCAUGCGUUGACCUCCUCCAAGGAGGCCUUGAUCACCUUAUGUGUGGGUGCCUCCAGGGGCUUGCCUGUGGUAUCCAGCCAUAGAUAGCUGCAUGUUGGUUCAGCUCUGCAGCUUAACUGAGGGGUGAGGGGCUGAUGGGUCAGGAAGCCAGUGACUAGAUCUUAGGGAAGGCAGGGACUUUGCCAGGGCAGGCUUCUUAGAGCCCUAAGCAGUGGGAUGCUACAGGGCAGCAGUGUAUGCCACUGUGACAUGAACUAGCCAGUGGUCUUCUCAGGAAGACCCCUCCAGCACAUCUAUUGGGUAUUGAGGAAAGGGCCCAGCCCAAACCCCUGGGGCUAUCCUGUCUCAGGGUGUUGGUUGGAAGGUGCCACAACUGAGGCCCAGGAAGAACCCUCCAAAAGAUCCGUAGUGUGAGGGAAUUCUCACCAAAUGCAGUAAGAUCCCUCUUUGCUGGCUGUCAUCAGCUCAUCCAGGUGACGUGGUUAUGCAAAUGCUCACUCAUCUUUCUCAAGUCUUUGCUUGCCAUUUCUAAGUCCAGUAAUUCUUGCAUGGGUAAGAUACCACCUUGUGGGUUCUGAAUGAUAAAGCUUAGGUUUUCUUGAAGUCUGUGGAAGGUGGUGGUGGCAGCAGCACCUGCGAGCAGAGGCCGAGGCAAGGCAUGGCGAUGCCGAUGGCCCUGUAAGAGCAAAGUGGCUGCGGGUUCUGCUGUGCACUCAUGGCCCUGACAUGGGCACCAGCGGCUCCAAAGCUCAAGGCCUGUGGCCCUUCGCCUUGGUGGCUGCCUGGAGGCGUCAGUCACUGAGCAAGCUUGAGUGUGACUGGGAAGCUGCGUCUUUCCCCACUUCGUAUUCAUGUGCCUGGCUCCGUGUUCUAUGGCAAGGAUGGGGAUCUGGCUCACAAGUUCUAUGAGGAGAUAGAUGUCACCAAGAACAGGCAGAAGCAGGCCAUGCUGAGGCAGGUGCAUAAGAACCUGAUUCCGGAGUUCCCAUCGUGGCUCAGCGGAAAGGAAUUUGGCAUCGUGAAACUGGAUUUCCCCCCCCCCACCUCCACGUGGAUUUCCCUGUGAUCCUCUAUGAGGUGUGGGCCUGGGAGGUGGCAGGCAUAAACACCCCCUGCCCCAGCAAGAAACCCCUAGGCGCAAGGUGUGGCUUCCACUGAGGGACCUAGGCUGGGGCCACAACCCUGAAUAAACUCCACUGGCCUGGAACCUUCAGCUGUGAGCAGGGCAGUCCUACAGUGUUGGUUGGGUGUUGGUUUGUAUGUGGACAAGAAGUGGCUGAUGGCUGGCGAGGGCUGAUGGCGGAGUUAGCAGCCCACCUUUCCCAGCAAUCCCUAUGAGGAGCAUGGCAGGGCAUAUGCUGGUCAGGAAGGCCAGGUUCCUGUGCCCUUGCCUGGCCUGCCUUCUUCCACGCUUGCCUAGGGCCCAGCCCUGAUAGAGGCUACAGCACUUUACAAGCAAGGUCUGCCUUCUUCCAGCCCCAGGGCUGUGGGAGCUGUACACAAGUGGGAACUUCCUUUCCCUCACUUCCUUUACCCUCUCGUUGGAACGUUUCAGCCGUUUGCUACCUCGAUUCCUCCUGUGUUGGACAGAGGCUAAGGGCAGUGCAAGCCUGAUCUUUCCUGCCUACCUGCCCAUCUGUUCCCACCCCCAAAUGGAUGGACAGUUUGCUGGCUGUUAAUAAGAGUUAGGACUGGUGUGGGAGGCAUCUCCCUCGACCCAGGGUGAGGCUGAUCUCUCCCCACUACAACUAGUUGUGUCCCCCCCCACAGACACACACUGCACCACCAAUUGAGAGGGCAUAGGAUGGGGAUCAGGAAGGGCUCUGGAUGCCUGUGCCUGUCGGGAGUUGCCCUAUCCCACCUACUCUGUCUAAUCUCCCUUGCCCUUACACAUCCAGCGCCCUGUGUAAGGGACAGCACCUGAGCGCUGGUGCCAGUAGCUCUGAGGAGCCCACCUCCC